UGGCUCAGGACGAACGCUGGCGGCGUGCCUAACACAUGCAAGUCGAGCGGGGACAUUGCGACGGAGACGAAGUACUCGUACGGAGUCAAAGAUGUAAUGUCUAGCGGCGGACGGGUGAGUAACGCGUGAGCAACCUGUCCCUUACAGGGGGAUAACACAGCGAAAGUUGUACUAAUACCGCAUAAGACCACAGGAUGACAUCGUCCAGGGGUCAAAGGAGCAAUCCGGUAAGGGGUGGGCUCGCGUCCGAUUAGAUAGUUGGUGAGGUAACGGCCCACCAAGUCGACGAUCGGUAGCCGACCUGAGAGGGUGAUCGGCCACAUUGGGACUGAGACACGGCCCAAACUCCUACGGGAGGCAGCAGUGGGGAAUAUUGGGCAAUGGGGGGAAACCCUGACCCAGCAACGCCGCGUGAGGGAAGAAGGUUUUCGGAUCGUAAACCUCUGUCCCAGGUGAAGAGGAAGAGACGGUAGCCUGGGAGGAAGCCCCGGCUAACUACGUGCCAGCCGCAGC
rnacentral:rRNA from 1 species